CUUGGUCAUUUAGAGGAAGUAAAAGUCGUAACAAGGUUUCCGUAGGUGAACCUGCGGAAGGAUCAUUACAAGUGAGGCUACCGAACGUUGGAAACAGCGGUUAGGAGCUUACACCCACCCGUGUUUACAUACUAUUGUUGCUUUGGCGGGCCGUGGCCUCCACUGCGGGCUCUGCUCGUGUGUGCCCGCCAGAGAACCAAACUCUGAAUGUUAGUGAUGUCUGAGUACUAUCUAAUAGUUAAAACUUUCAACAACGGAUCUCUUGGUUCUGGCAUCGAUGAAGAACGCAGCGAAAUGCGAUAAGUAAUGUGAAUUGCAGAAUUCAGUGAAUCAUCGAAUCUUUGAACGCACAUUGCGCCCUGUGGUAUUCCGCAGGGCAUGCCUGUUCGAGCGUCAUUUAACCACUCACGCCUAGCGUGGUAUUGGGGCACGCGGUCUCCGCGGCCCUCAAGAUCAGUGGCGGCGCCGGUGGGCUCUAAGCGUAGUACAUACUCCCGCUAUAGAGUUCCCCCCGGUGGCUCGCCAGAACCCCCAAUUUUUUACAGGUUGACCUCGGAUCAGGUAGGGAUACCCGCUGAACUUAAGCAUAUCAAUAAGCGGAGGA
rnacentral:rRNA from 1 species